rnacentral:lncRNA from 1 species
UUGUUUUUUUCACCUUUAGGUUUAGGGCAAGAUUUUUGAUUAGAUUCUUUUUUUUUUUUUUUUUUUUGAGACAGGGUCUCACUCUGUCGCCCAGAUGGGAGUGCAGUGGUACGAUCUUGGCUCACUGCAUCCUCUGCCUUCCAGGCUCAAGCGAUUCUCCUGCCUCAGCCUCCCAAGUGCCUGGGAUUGCCUGGGGUUAUAGGUGUGUGCCACCACGCC